CCUACGGGUGGCAGCAGUAGGGAAUAUUGCUCAAUGGGGGAAACCCUGAAGCAGCAAAGCCGCGUGGAGGAUGAAGGUUUUAGGAUUGUAAACUCCUUUUGUUAGAGAAGAUAAUGACGGUAUCUAACGAAUAAGCACCGGCUAACUCCGUGCCAGCAGCCGCGGUAAUACGGAGGGUGCAAGCGUUACUCGGAAUCACUGGGCGUAAAGAGCGCGUAGGCGGGAUAGCAAGUCAGAUGUGAAAUCCUAUGGGUUAACCAUAGAACUGCAGUUGAAACUGUUAUUCUAGAGUAUGGGAGAGGUAGGUGGAAUUCUUGGUGUAGGGGUAAAAUCCGUAGAGAUCAAGAGGAAUACUCAUUGCGAAGGCGACCUGCUAGAACAUAACUGACGCUGAUGCGCGAAAGCGUGGGUAGCAAACAGGAUUAGAUACCCCAGUAGUC
rnacentral:rRNA from 1 species